rnacentral:rRNA from 1 species
UGUCUGGCGGCUGUAGCGCGGUGGUCCCACCUGACCCCAUGCCGAACUCAGAAGUGAAACGCCGUAGCGCCGAUGAUAGUGUGGGGUCUCCCCAUGCGAGAGUAGGGAACUGCCAGACAU